GAUGAACGCUGGCGGCGUGCCUAAUACAUGCAAGUCGAGCGAACAGACGAGGAGCUUGCUCCUCUGACGUUAGCGGCGGACGGGUGAGUAACACGUGGAUAACCUACCUAUAAGACUGGGAUAACUUCGGGAAACCGGAGCUAAUACCGGAUAAUAUAUUGAACCGCAUGGUUCAAUAGUGAAAGACGGUUUUGCUGUCACUUAUAGAUGGAUCCGCGCCGCAUUAGCUAGUUGGCAAGGUAACGGCUUACCAAGGCAACGAUGCGUAGCCGACCUGAGAGGGUGAUCGGCCACACUGGAACUGAGACACGGUCCAGACUCCUACGGGAGGCCGCAGUAGGGAAUCUUCCGCAAUGGGCGAAAGCUUGACGGAGCAACGCCGCGUGAGUGAUGAAGGUCUUCGGAUCGUAAAACUCUGUUAUUAGGGAAGAACAAAUGUGUAAGUAACUAUGCACGUCUUGACGGUACCUAAUCAGAAAGCCACGGCUAACUACGUG
rnacentral:rRNA from 1 species